UACGGAGCAGUGCAUCUACGGUAGGUGGAUUUGGCUCAGGUAGGAUUCAUAUUGGUUGGAUUUCGAUCUCUCUUCCCGCUCCCUGCUCAGCUUGAAGAUCUCUACUACAUGGAAUGGAGAUUGCUGCAGAGAAAACUUGGAUCAGCCACAUGGUCGAGGUGCUCGUCGGACAUAACGGCGGCUCCUGAUGCCGCAUUAACAGCAGGGGCAAAAGAAGAGGCGACCACGCAGGUCCGUGCUGGGGCGGUGGCGCCGUCGGGUGGCGUCGUGCCACCGUCCUAGCGCGGCCGCAUGGCCGGGGCGGCCGGCGACCGGCGUCACCCGUGUUGGGGAGGCCACGGCCGCGGCGUGUUACCUCUUCCUCUCCGUUGCCCCGGCUCAGCUCAGCGACCGGAUCUGGUUGUCGUAUUCAGAGAUGCUGCAGUCCUUAUGCUUAAUUAUGUUCAUGAAAUUAGACUGCAUGGUUUUAAGUUGGAGUACAUCUACUUCGAAAUUAGCAUGCAUAUUUGACUGAAUGGUAAGCUGGACUACAACUAUUUCAAAAUUAAGAUGCAUAUUUGACUCAAUGGGGAGGUACAUCCUUAAGAGAUGUAAUAGCAUGGGCCACAGCAGUUGCAAUUUCCAAAAUCAGUUAAGAUUCCAGUAUUUUAGUACAUGUAUCUAAAGUGUUCUUUCAUUUUUUUUAGGUUGUUAUAUUCAGAGAUGCUGUAGUUCUUAUACUGAAUUGUGUUCAUGACAUUCGAGCACAAGGUUUUAAGUUGGACUACAGCUAUUGCAAAAAUAAGAUGCAUAUUUGACUGAAUGCUAAGUUGGAGUACAGCUAUUUGGAAAUUAAGAUGCAUAUUUGACUCAAUGGAGACGUACAUCCUGAAGAUAUGUAAUAGCAUGGGCCACAUCAUUUGCAAUUUCCAUGCUCAGUUUAAAUUCAAACAUUUUACCAUUUAUAGUUGCAUAUAGCUAUCCUCAUGUAAAGGGCCAAUCUCUGCUCUAAAAAUAUCUGGAAAGCCUAAGGACUCGUGCUGCCAGAGCUGUCAUGGGAUGCUAGAAACCGGUGAUCACAUUUUUGUGGCCUGUCCACGAGCUGGAACUGCAUUGGGAUCAAGCUGACAGAAGGUGAUUGAUGUCAGCUGUGGCACAUUGGCACGAAUCUGGAUCUUCCUACUUCAGCCAGACUGGGCAUGAUCUUACUGUCGGAAUGCCUGGAAUGUGCUAAUCUCUUAUGCCUGGGAUGACUCUAGAGACAGUCCUCUGUGCAAGAACAGAGAUGCAGAUCAAUGGAGGUGCCAAUACAAGCAGGAAAAGAUUAAAAUCUUUUCGGAUCAAUGCUGACUCUAGAGACAGUUCAUCCUAUCAUUAUUUGGCAAACAGUGCCCGAGCCAGAGGGUUGCAACGCCCUGCAAGAUCGUCGAGAGCAGCUAAGAAAUUUGUGGACGUCGCAUCACAGAAAAGGCAUUGUUUCUCUAUUUGCAGUAUUAACUUGGGGAAUUUGAAAAGAAAGGAAUGCGCUGCAGGGAAUGUACAGAGGUCAUGAGGCUGCUCCAGAAGAUCAAAACCGAGACUGAGCUUUGGUUUAGUGUAGGGGCGACAAACCAAGGUUGUUUAGAGAGCGAGUAGUCACCUAGCCUCUCCUCCUCCCUUUGGUGGUAUCUCUAGUGUAAUGUACGACAUUGACUGAGGGCGCUGCAGCGCGUUGUAUUCUUGUAACUCUUUCUUCUAUCUUAAUACAAAGAUGUGCAAUUCUUUUACAUA